GAACGAUGAACCUCACUUGUGGGGGGACCAGUGGCGAACGGGUGAGUAACACGUGAGUAACCUGCCCUUGACUCUGGGAUAAGCCUGGGAAACCGGGUCUAAUACUGGAUACGACCUUCUGGCGCAUGCCAUGUUGGUGGAAAGCUUUUGUGGUUUUGGAUGGACUCGCGGCCUAUCAGCUUGUUGGUGGGGUAAUGGCCUACCAAGGCGACGACGGGUAGCCGGCCUGAGAGGGUGACCGGCCACACUGGGACUGAGACACGGCCCAGACUCCUACGGGAGGCAGCAGUGGGGAAUAUUGCACAAUGGGCGCAAGCCUGAUGCAGCGACGCCGCGUGAGGGAUGAAGGCCUUCGGGUUGUAAACCUCUUUCAGUAGGGAAGAAGCCGGUCUUUUGGGUUGGUGACGGUACCUGCAGAAGAAGCGCCGGCUAACUACGUGCCAGCAGCCGCGGUAAUACGUAGGGCGCAAGCGUUAUCCGGAAUUAUUGGGCGUAAAGAGCUCGUAGGCGGUUUGUCGCGUCUGCCGUGAAAGUCCGGGGCUUAACUCCGGAUCUGCGGUGGGUACGGGCAGACUAGAGUGCAGUAGGGGAGACUGGAAUUCCUGGUGUAGCGGUGAAAUGCGCAGAUAUCAGGAGGAACACCGAUGGCGAAGGCAGGUCUCUGGGCUGUAACUGACGCUGAGGAGCGAAGCAUGGGGAGCGAACAGGAUA
rnacentral:rRNA from 1 species